rnacentral:tRNA from 1 species
UGAGAUGUGGCUCAGUGGUAGAGUGCUUGCCUAGCAUGCAUGCGGCACUGGGUUUAACCCUUAGCACCAUAU